rnacentral:rRNA from 1 species
GACGAACGCUGGCGGCGUGCUUAACACAUGCAAGUCGAACGGAAAGGCCCUGCUUUUGUGGGGUGCUCGAGUGGCGAACGGGUGAGUAACACGUGAGUAACCUGCCCUUGACUUUGGGAUAACUUCAGGAAACUGGGGCUAAUACCGGAUAGGAGCUCCUGCUGCAUGGUGGGGGUUGGAAAGUUUCGGCGGUUGGGGAUGGACUCGCGGCUUAUCAGCUUGUUGGUGGGGUAGUGGCUUACCAAGGCUUUGACGGGUAGCCGGCCUGAGAGGGUGACCGGCCACAUUAGGACUGAGAUACGGCCCAGACUCCUACGGGAGGCAGCAGUGGGGAAUAUUGCAGAAUGGGCGGAAGCCUGAUGCAGCAACGCCGCGUGCGGGAUGACGGCCUUCGGGUUGUAAACCGCUUUCGCCUGUGACGAAGCGUGAGUGACGGUAAUGGGUAAAGAAGCACCGGCUAACUACGUG